UAACAGAACCAGUUUUACAAAAUAUUCCUGAAAGGAUGAAUCAGUUUUGUAAACUGUCCCUGAAAGGAUGUUCAAGCAUAUCGUGUUCAAGUACACUCUUAUCUUAACAACCUAGCUUUUAUCUUAGCCUAAAUACGCAUAGAGUGAGGAGAAGUACAUGCAGUAUCUCCGGAGGUUGAGCAAGUCAGCAGUUAUCUAGCUAUAGAAGUAGUACGCCUGUGCAGUACCCAAAGGUGAAAGGGACGGAAGUGAUGAAGACUACUUACUUCAUCCUGAAGAUCCCCUGAAAGACCACCAGAGGACACUGCACAUGAUCAAAAUAGUUCCAAGAUGUUGCAAUCGAUGUUGCAAUCAAUGUUGAGUAACCGUUACGUAUCUUAAUGAAUAUAUGAAUAUGUAUGUGAAUGGACUGCAUAAAUACUGUGUAACUUAAACUGACCAGCAAAGCCAGCUUUGGGUGCAAACCCCUGGUUUCCCAGCGCUGAAAUAAAGCACCACAUAUAACUACGCCCGUGUUUAUGUGUCCUGAUUGCUAACAUUUUGGCGACCCAGAUGGGACCUCGUGGGCUGCUGAGGCGGAUCGCAUCUUGAUCCUGCUCCGGCUAGCACCGAGGUAUUCUUGGGGAGUGUAUCGGACGUGACUGACCCUCUGCUGCUCACGACAGACCUCUGACUGUGACCCCGACGUGAUCCUGCCUGAAGAGGAUCUCGCAUGACAAGGUGACAGCGUGAAGCUGUGAACAGCCGAAGAAGAGCUGUGGAAAUGGAGCCUGGUACAGCUGAUAAGAGCAGCCGAGGAGAGCUGCCGAAGAUCCGGAUCGAUUGAAAAGACACCUCGCUAAGGAGUAGGAAGGCCUUAAAUCAUGAACUCUUUAAAGUUUUCAGUGAGAUGUGUGAUGUGGAUGUUAACCACCUUUUGCCUGGGAAAGACUACACAAUUCAUUUGCAGGCAACCAGCUGCUAAGUCUCAUGAGGAUUUAGGGCAGCAUGGAACUGUAGGAAAAGAUGUCUGCAAACCCGCUGUCUGUAAACCCGCCAUCUGCUAGAGAGUUGCCUAUGACUGGUCAUCUCCACAACUGGUGUAGGCAGGACUUCCUAAUGACAAAGAAUCACUUAGGAGAGGGAAGAGUACAGAGAACACAUCAAUGGUCCACACUGCCUGGACAUUGGUUACCAGUGGAGUCUCCCAGGUCUCUGUCUUGAGUCCUAUGACAUUUAAUAUCUUUAUCAGUGGCCCAGAAGAGGAUCUAGACUGCGACCUUUCCGGUUUUGCAGAUGUCAGGAAACUGUGGUGAUGAAGUUGGUGUGAUCAAGUGCAGGGCUUCUGUUCAGCUGGACCUCAGCAGGUGGGAGGAAAAGACUAAAGAAGGAACAUCAUGAAAUUCAACAAGGACAAAUGCCACCAGAAUGGGAUGCCCAGAGAAGCUGUGUAAUGUCCUCUCUCAAGGUUUUCAAGACCCAGCAAGAUGACACCUGGAGCAAUAUAGUCUGAGUUCAGUGUUGACCCCACUUUGAACAGGAUUAGAGAUGUCCUGAGCUCCCCUCUACCCAGGAUGUUUCUGUGAAGGCCUUAAAUCAUGAACUCUUUAAAGUUUUCAGUGAGAUGUGUGAUGUGGAUGUUAACCACCUUUUGCCUGGGAAAGACUACACAAUUCAUUUGCAGGCAACCAGCUGCUAAGUCAUAUGUGGAUUUAGGGCAACAUGGAACUGCAGGAAAAGAUGUCUGCAAACCCACUGCCUGCAAACCUGAUGUCUGCUAGAGGGUUGCCUAUGGUUGGUCAUCUCCACAACUGGCAUAGGCAGGACUUCCUAAUGACAAAGAAUCACUUAGGAGAGGGAACAUUACAGAGAACACAUCAGUGGUCCACACUGCCUGGACAUUGGUUACCAGUGGAGUCUCCCAGGUCUCUGUCUUGAGUCCUAUGACAUUUAAUAUCUUUAUCAGUGGCCCAGAAGAGGAUCUAGACUGCGACCUUUCCGGUUUUGCAGAUGUCAGGAAACUGUGGUGAUGAAGUUGGUGUGAUCAAGUGCAGGGCUUCUGUUCAGCUGGACCUUGGCAGGUGGGAGGAAAAGACUAAGGAAGGAACAUCAUGAAAUUCAACAAGGACAAAUGCCACCAGAACGGGAUGCCCAGAGAAGCUGAGCAAAGUCCUCUCUCAAGGUUUUCAAGACCCAGCAAGAUGACACCUGGAGCAAUACAGUCUGAGUUCGGUGUUGACCACACUUUGAACAGGAUUAGAGAUGUCCUGAGCUCCCCUCUACCCAGGAUAUUUCUUUGUGAGUAUGAAUGCUUGUGCAUAUGGCCUGGGGACUUGCCAUAAGGAGAAGGAGAGAUAGGUCCCAAGUCAUUCUUGGGGCAAUAAGGGAGGAAUCAGAGGAAUUGCUGGGUGUCUGCUGGAGAGCAUGGAAUGUCACCGAGGUGUGGGUGAGGAGGAUGUCAGGGUUGCUGCUACCAGUCCCAGGGAACUGUGAAGGAGGAGUGAGUACCAGAUGAAACGAGCAGCCAUUUCACUCCUUGCCAGCUCAGCGUAGUGCAAACGUGACUAAAUGUAUGGGUCACAAGUUGCAGCAGGCCACUGAAUACCCAUCAUCCAAUUUUGUACUUACACAAGUACCCAAACGCCUUAUUUCAAUGUUUCUUUUUAUUAUAAGAUACAAUCUUCUGUUGUUGAUAAGCUUGAAAAGAGGUACCUAAAUGUGUAUGAGGAAAACUUCUCCCAUAUGGAUUUUCCAUUUCUCAGAACCAAGCUCUAGUUAUCCCUUGCCCAUGUUAAGAUAGUGCUACUCAUCUUUUCUCCUCUUUCCUUGAGAAUGCCCUUUUUGGAAUAGAAUCUUGAAAAUCAUUGGGAAAGCCUCCUUUCCAUUUUGGAUGCACUUAUUGGUAACAUUGAUUGAGGUGCCCUUAAUAUGGCCAACCAUAAAUCUGAAAAUUUCAGAGUACCCGGAUGCCUCAAUUCAAAGCUGGUGUGAGACCCUGCUCAGGAGCGGGGUUCCUUAAGCUUAAUCACAGAGGUGAGGAGAAUUAGACUGGCUAAGCUGUGGAGUAGGGACUCAGGAGAGAAACAGCUGCUGCAUUGCAUGGCCUCAUAAACUAUAUGCAGUGUGGCGAUUAGGAACGACGAAUACCAGGAUGCAGACAGAAAUUCACGCAGAGGCAGAGAUCUUGUUCAGGAAGGAGCACAGAGCCUGACCAAGCAGAGAGCCUACCUAGGCCUAGGCUGCCUUCUUUAUUCACCAUUGACAGUUUAGAGGAUUUACAGGUACAGGCCUGGACUAAGAUGUUUACAAAAAGGUGCUUUUCCACUGAUUGUUAUUAAGAACACACUAAACUCAUGCGAUGUUUGUCUCACUUGUUUUUCCACUCAUUCACAGACCAGGCCCGAGGACAUUCACACAUCCCAUGCACUUGGGGGCGGUUAUCCGGCCCGAGAUACCAUUCUAACGAGUCUGGGCUAUAACUUUUUAUAAUUAUGAGAAACGUACUUCAAAGUAAUCUGUCCAAGGCCCUUUAUAUAUUACUAUGUUAGUAUUAUGUCUUUGACUGUCCAGAUGGUCAUGUUAGUAUUGAUCUUCCUUUAUCAUCCAGGUGGCUAGAACUGCACAUCUUGCUUUCCCACAUCUUGCUUUCCAACAAUGCAGUUGGUCUGUGGGUUAGAAAUGCACAGAGAAAGAAGCUGCCCAGUUCUCCUUUUUAUUUAUUUCUGUUGGGGUGGGAGGUAGCAUUGGCUCUACAUUAUUUCUCUUUGUCAUUUGUGAUGUACUGUCAUCUCAAUCAUCAUGCCUGACAGUGUUCAAGAAGAGACCAGACAGUGCCCUCAGACACAUGGUGUGAACUGUGGAGUUCUCAUAUGCAGGGACAGGAACUGGACUUGAUCCUUGUGUGUCAUUUCCAAUUCAGGACAUUCUAUGAUUCUAUGAUUCUAUUACUCUGUGAUCUGUUAUCUGAGGCAGAUACCAGAAAUAGUAUAAAAAUCAACGAGCUGUGUGUCACACAGAAUACCUGCUCUGUGGGCUAGAAACCAACACUCUGGAAGGCACUCAGUUUCCUUCAGGUUGGAAAACUUCCCUGCAGCAGGUCACAUUACAGGCUUUGACUGCUCUUCAGAGUCCUUUUUCAUCUGUGCAGAUGUGGCAGGGCAGAACUGAGAAUACAGCUGAGCCAGCAAAGCCUGGGACGUGAUCUCUAGCCUUGCAUCGUGGCUCAGUUUGUUCCAUAUGUGCACCGCAUAGGUGUUCUUAAGGAGAUUGUGAAGCUCUGAGGAGCCGAUUGCUUCAAACAAUUUCUUCCAGUUCUGCCAUGGAAUAGGAUAAAAAGCAUCACGGCUCAGAGCACUAACUCCUUUGCAGAUCAUACCACUUUGGAUAUUACUGAUAGAGCACCACUUCUUGAAGACACGUGUUAGGAGCUGUGGGCCCUGGUGUGCCCAUAUCCAGCUUUUGUAGUUGUCCACAAAGUCCUGCAUGCAAAGUUCUAUGAACUCAUGCUUGGGUUUGAAGGACAGAAAGGCCCCAUUCAGUACAUCCUGAGACUGGAGCCCGAGGGCAUUGGUGAGGUUCUUCAAGUUCUUCAGCACAAUGAAGUCUGUGUCCAGGUAGAUGCCACCAAAUUUCCACAUGAUGGUAAUUCUGCAGGCGUCAGAGAGGUGGGCUAAGUAAUAACGUCCCUUCUGGUGCUCAGGCUGUGCGUACCACUUUGCCAGAGGUGUUCCUGAGAAAAGCUCUUCCAUGUCCAGGGGCCGGAUCUCCACGUUGGGGAAGCGGCUCAGCAAUGAGAAUGCCCAGUGGCUGGGCAAUGAGACAUUCCUCUUUGCCAGGCCUUUCAUGAGCACCACAACCCGUGUCCCAGGGUGUGCCCGGGCCGCUGACUCCACAGAGCACGUGAACAGGUAACUUGGGUUAAUUCGCUCAGAGGUCUCCACAAAAAACACAUCCCCUGGGGAAGGAGGGGGCCCACCAGCAAUGGUGCGGGGAGGGGAAGCAAAAAACUGUUCACAAAUGCUUUGUGUAGGCAAGGUGUAGACCUGGCCUGCAGCAUCCUCUCCAGUUGUCCAGUGGAACAUGACAGAGGCAAAGAGCAGAAAUGAAACAGUGAGGAUAAACAGAGCUAUGGGCCUGUGGCUCAGCAACACUGUGGUCAGUUUUGGCACGCAGUUCGACAUCUCUCCCAGCACAACUGUUGUGAUCUGAAGGGAGGAAAGAAGAAAAAGACACUGACAGGAAAGGCAGCAAACCAGGAGCCUUGGGAAAGUGCCACAGUACAGCAGAACACUCCUUCCUUCACCCCAACUUUAACUAUGCCUUUUGGUCAUUUCUGGAACAGUCUCCUGGCUUCUCCAUAUUGUCACAGGACCUUCAGGUCCCACAUCAGAAACUGCUGCCCAUCUUUGGAUCCCUCUCUUUCAAACACAAAAGAAGGACAAGUCUCUCCUUUCGGCAUAUCAGAUACUAAGACUGAUCCUCUGUUCUCUCCAUGUGUUUUGUCCACGUAAGUUGUGCUUGCCACUUGGAAGGAUAUACAGCAUUUGACACACAAAUGGCACAUCUGCAUGGUAGUCCACCACAAACUCUGGAAACAGCAUACGAGACCUUAUCUAUCAUCUUCUAGAAUUUCAGGUCAUACUGAACAAGAAACAUAUGUGCAACAACAAUCCCGAAGACGAAGAAAUAGGAAUGCUCCCUCUGAAUGUUCCUGGAGCUUUGUCAACAGACGUGUGCAACUGCUUCCGUGAUGAGUUCUAUAUCUAUAACGCUUUAAUCUUUAACCAAACAGGUAACAGGACAGACAGCUCAGCUGGCACAACAGACAGCUCUAAUCUAACAGUGAGCAAGAUUCAAGACUACAUGCAUAGUUUAGUAAGUGGAGGUAUUCGCAACACAAGCGCACUUCUAUAUAAUUAGAAAUACAUAAAUAUAUUUCUGCAUUUACACGGAAUAGGAAGACAUUUUCGAUGCUGCAUGAGCCGGUCAAUUUAUCUCACAAUACAAACACAAUAAAUCCGUCUCUCUAAUUUCCUCUGAAACCGCAAGUGCCAUUGCACAGAAAUGGUGAAUACUACUUACCUGUCCCUGCUUUCAAGACACCACAGAAGUCACUGCUCAGCUGGACAAGACUUUCAAGAGGUCGGUGUUUCUCAGAGCACCUGUAACUCUAUGAACUGACACUUCCUUUUCCUGAAAAGAAAUGGUGAGAGAUGGACUCUGAACACCUGGAGGAAACAGGCAGAUCAAGGUGGAUGUGACGUCAUACUUUCAGUUCAUACAGUGGCUGAUAUAAGGUUUCAGCAGCUGUGCUGUGAGGAAACCAUCUAAUUAGAAAUGCACCACCAAAAACAAACAAGCAAACAAGCAAAAAAAUAAGGAAAUUGAUACCCAAUUACUGCUACACAUUAAGCUUUAUACUGUGGUGGGAAACCAGUUGCUGUUUUGUCUUCUACUCUUUGCGAACAAUCCCCAGUACUCACACUGCCUGGGUGGCUGCCACGAGAACUGAGCUGAGAGAUUCAUAGAUCUGCCUCCUCCCAUCCCAGAACUCCCUUCCUGAAGGCUCCUUUGAACGUACACUCUUUUGACCAGUUAAUAAACUCAUCCAUUUGGAAAUA